UCCGGGUUGGACCCGGCGGUCCCGCCAGACAUGGUAACUGGCAGCGAGGGUUGCGCUCGUUGCGGGACUUAACCCAACACCUCACGACACGAGCUGACGACAGCCAUGCAGCACCUUCUCACCGGCUCUCUUGCGAGCACCCCCAUAUCUCUACGGGGUUCCGGUGGAUUUAACCCAGGUAAGGUUCUUCGCGUUGCGUCGAAUUGAACCACAUGCUCCACCGCUUGUGCGGGCCCCCGUCAAUUCCUUUGAGUUUUAGCCUUGCGGCCGUACUCCCCAGGCGGAAUGCUUAAAGCGUUAGCUGCGCCACUAGUGAGUAAACCCACUAACGGCUGGCAUUCAUCGUUUACGGCGUGGACUAC
rnacentral:misc_RNA from 1 species